rnacentral:rRNA from 1 species
UACGGGGGGGGCAAGCGUUGUUCGGAAUUACUGGGCGUAAAGGGCUCGUAGGUGGCCAACUAAGUCGGACGUGAAAUCCCUCGGCUUAACCGGGGAACUGCGUCCGAUACUGGUUGGCUUGAGUUUGGGAGAGGGAUGCGGAAUUCCAGGUGUAGCGGUGAAAUGCGUAGAGAUGUGGAGGAACACCAGUGGCGAAGGCGACUCUUUGGCCUGUAACUGACGCUGAGGCGCGAAAGCGUGGGGAGCAAACAGG